rnacentral:rRNA from 1 species
UACGUAGGGGGCAAGCGUUGUCCGGAAUUAUUGGGCGUAAAGCGCGCGCAGGCGGUUUUUUAAGUCCGGGGUUUAAAUCCAGGGCUCAACCUUGGGUCGCACGGGAAACUGGGAGACUGGAGUGCAGGAGAGGGAAGCGGAAUUCCACGUGUAGCGGUGAAAUGCGUAGAGAUGUGGAGGAACACCAGUGGCGAAGGCGGCUUCCUGGCCUGUAACUGACGCUGAGGCGCGAAAGCGUGGGGAGCAAACAGG